GAAAAAGUGUAGAAAACAAGGGAUUUCCGGGAGUCAGUGUCUAUCAGGGGACGGGUUCUGGUUCCCGGAUUUUUUCA
rnacentral:tRNA from 1 species